AAAGAUUGGACAACCCAGGGUUGCUGAGGAAAAGCCCCUGAACAGGCCCCUGACUGCAGGCAGCCCUGAGAGUCCUUGGCAAGGUAUACAGCUGCCCGGCUCCCCCCCUCAUUAGAGGCCAUCUAGAGGGACUGGGUGUGAAUCUUUGCAAAAGUAGAUGUAAGUUGGCAUAGUUGAACAAUAAAGGGAGAAGGAUGCUUAAUCGUAUCGGUGUACGUGUCGUUUAUGCGGCCAGCUCUCCGGACUCGGUCCCUAACACCUGUCCUCCUCCUGUCCCCCUGUGCCCCUUUUCUUGGACAAGUCUCAAAUGGCAACACACAUUCCCAAAGACUGUCUGCUUCCUUAAAUCCACGGACCAGCUAGUGCUGUCACUCAACAGCUGAAAUGAGCUUUCAGAGCCUAGAAACUAGCAGGAGUGACAAACAAAUGGAUUUGAAUCUGGAAAUAGGUGAGGUCCACCCACCCACUGCUGCUGAUGCAGAGACUGGGGCUCAGGGCAUCUGCGCAGCCCUUCCCUUUGGCACUGAUCCUGCACUGGAAUGUUGUGUUGUUGCCAAACCGGGCCUCAAACCAGGAGAAGGUAAGCCCUGACCAUUUGCCCCUGACCCUGGCACACCCACAGUGUGUUAUGUGGAGCGUGUGCCUCAGCUGGUGUCACUUGAGUUUCACCAGAGUUGCAAGUUUGCUCCUGCUCUGGGCGAUUCCGAGUGACCAUCGCAUCAGUUCUGCACUAAACACCGUUUAGCCAGACCCAGAGAUUUGGCCACAUAGUGACUUCUGAACAGAAAAUCAGAAUGCAGGAAAAGUGCCAGGACCACGCACGGGCCCGGGUACAGCACGGUCUUUGUGGGUCACUGUCACUCCACUCUUACAGUCUCUCCUCAUCUUUCUUGUAGGCUCCCUUCAGGUACAGGAGCCAUUGCUCACUGGUGUUUUUGACUAUUCUCUGCCAAGGAAAUGAGUUGAAUUUCCUUGUCAAAUCUUAUAGGCUUUUAUACUUGGGCUUCUCUGCUGUGGGAUUUGUACUCAGAGACUGGUGUUGGUGUCUGGACACUUCCAGAAGGUGGAUGUUAUCCCUGGAUGUAUAAAGAAAACGCCUAUCCAUCAUCUCUCAGGCAAUGAGAGCGGUGCAGGUGUCUGGCAUGGCAGCCUUUCCACCAGUUCACUGGUUGAGCUGGUGCCAAGGUGAGCCCACUCUCUAAAUUUCCCUUGCAUGCCUCAAGGCGUGCAUCGUAAGAUUCGUGCUUGUUGGAAGGACAGGAUUGAGCCGGUCUUCCGUGCAGUGAGUGUCAGGUGACCUUCUCUUUGCUGCACGUUGGUGACUCCAGGGGGUUCUGGAGUAACACAGACAUGCUGGCUCGAGAAGGCACAAAAGAGUGCUUUCCUUUCAAACACGGGAACUGGUGAAAAAGUGUGGUUUGUCUCUCACUGCCUGCAUUCCCUUCAACCCAGCGAGGCCGUAUGGAGCUGAUGACUUCCUGCCUGUGUUGACAUAGGCCCUAGCCCAGUGUGAUGAGCUGGAGACUGAAAUCGAAUACAUGACAGAGUGGCUGGAUCCAUCCUUGGUGUAUGGAGAAGCUAAAGGCUGAGAGGGGACACUGUCGGUAAUACAGAAAAUACUACCCUGUGUACAGAACGCAUCUCUGAACGCCUCUGAACAGACUGUGCUGCCUCUUAGCUGGACACUCCCACCCAAAUGGCUGACUUGGAAAAGAUAAGACAGACAGUGGGUCUCCUGUUGCUGCGGACCGUUACCUCCCGUCGAGACUCUUUUACUUUGUGACCUGCAGCUUCUUUUGUACAGCUUCUGUUGUGGCUUUAAUUUGUUCUCUGUUUGUGUAAUAAAGGUGGAGUAUGCAGGACUGUA